rnacentral:rRNA from 1 species
UUGUAAUUUGAAGAUAUUUCUUUGGAGUUGGCCCUUGUCUAUGUUCCUUGGAACAGGACGUCAUAGAGGGUGAGAAUCCCGUCUGAUGGGGUGUCCAACUCUUUGUAAAGUUUUAUCGAAGAGUCGAGUUGUUUGGGAAUGCAGCUCUAAGUGGGUGGUAAAUUCCAUCUAAAGCUAAAUAUUGGCGAGAGACCGAUAGCGAACAAGUACAGUGAUGGAAAGAUGAAAAGAACUUUGAAAAGAGAGUGAAAAAGUACGUGAAAUUGUUGAAAGGGAAGGAUAUUAGAUCAGACUUGGUGUUUUACGAUUAUCUUCCCUUCUUGGGUUGUGCACUCGUGCUACACUGGGCCAGCAUCGAUUCGGACGGUAAGAUAAUGACUUAGGAACGUGGCACUCCUUCGGGAGUGUGUUAUAGCCUGUGUUGAUGUUGCCUGUCUGGAUCGAGGACUGCGUCUUUUGACUAGGAU